UGGGGAAUAUUGCACAAUGGGCGCAAGCCUGAUGCAGCCAUGCCGCGUGUAUGAAGAAGGCCUUCGGGUUGUAAAGUACUUUCAGCGGGGAGGAAGGCGAUAAGGUUAAUAACCUUGUCGAUUGACGUUACCCGCAGAAGAAGCACCGGCUAACUCCGUGCCAGCAGCCGCGGUAAUACGGAGGGUGCAAGCGUUAAUCGGAAUUACUGGGCGUAAAGCGCACGAAGGCGGUCUGUCAAGUCGGAUGUGAAAGCCCCGGGCUCAACCUGGGAACUGCAUUCGAAACUGGCAGGCUAGAGUCUUGUAGAGGGGGGUAGAAUUCCAGGUGUAGCGGUGAAAUGCGUAGAGAUCUGGAGGAAUACCGGUGGCGAAGGCGGCCCCCUGGACAAAGACUGACGCUCAGGUGCGAAAGCGUGGGGAGCAAACA
rnacentral:rRNA from 1 species